rnacentral:rRNA from 1 species
UGCCAGCCGCCGCGGUAAAACGUAGGGGGCUAGCGUUGUUCGGAAUUACUGGGCGUAAAGCGCGUGUAGGCGGUUUAGUAAGUCAGAAGUGAAAUCCCUCGGCUCAACCGAGGAAGUGCGCCCGAAACUACUAGGCUUGAGUACCGGAGAGGGUGGCGGAAUUCCCGGUGUAGAGGUGAAAUUCGUAGAUAUCGGGAGGAACACCAGCGGCGAAGGCGGCCACCUGGACGGAUACUGACGCUGAGACGCGAAAGCGUGGGGAGCAAACAGGAUUAGAUA